rnacentral:rRNA from 1 species
GUGGGGAAUAUUGGACAAUGGGCGAAAGCCUGAUCCAGCCAUGCCGCGUGUGUGAAGAAGGUCUUCGGAUUGUAAAGCACUUUAAGUUGGGAGGAAGGGCAGUAAGUUAAUACCUUGCUGUUUUGACGUUACCGACAGAAUAAGCACCGGCUAACUUCGUGCCAGCAGCCGCGGUAAUACGACGGGUGCAAGCGUUAAUCGGAAUUACUGGGCGUAAAGCGCGCGUAGGUGGUUUUGUAAGUUGGAGGUGAAAUCCCCGGGCUCAACCUGGGAACUGCCACCAAAACUGCAUGACUAGAGUACGGUAGAGGGUAGUGGAAUUUCCUGUGUAGCGGUUAAAUGCGUAGAUAUAGGAAGGAACACCAGUGGCGAAGGCGACUACCUGGACUGAUACUGACACUGAGGUGCGAAAGCGUGGGGAGCAAACAGGAUUAGAAACCCCUGUAGUCC